rnacentral:rRNA from 3 species
GGGUUGUGAGGUUAAGCGACUAAGCGUACACGGUGGAUGCCCUGGCAGUCAGAGGCGAUGAAGGACGUGCUAAUCUGCGAUAAGCGCCGGUAAGGUGAUAUGAACCGUUAUAACCGGCGAUUUCCGAAUGGGGAAACCCAGUGUGAUUCGUCACACUAUCAUUAACUGAAUCCAUAGGUUAAUGAGGCGAACCGGGGGAACUGAAACAUCUAAGUACCCCGAGGAAAAGAAAUCAACCGAGAUUCCCCCAGUAGCGGCGAGCGAACGGGGAGGAGCCCAGAGCCUGAAUCAGCAUGUGUGUUAGUGGAAGCGUCUGGAAAGGCGCGCGAUACAGGGUGACAGCCCCGUACACAAAAGCGCAUGUGCUGUGAGCUCGAUGAGUAGGGCGGGACACGUGGUAUCCUGUCUGAAUAUGGGGGGACCAUCCUCCAAGGCUAAAUACUCCUGACUGACCGAUAGUGAACCAGUACCGUGAGGGAAAGGCGAAAAGAACCCCGGCGAGGGGAGUGAAAAAGAACCUGAAACCGUGUACGUACAAGCAGUGGGAGCACAGGUUUACCUGUGUGACUGCGUACCUUUUGUAUAAUGGGUCAGCGACUUAUAUUCUGUAGCAAGGUUAACCGUAUAGGGGAGCCGGAGGGAAACCGAGUCUUAACCGGGCGUUAAGUUGCAGGGUAUAGACCCGAAACCCGGUGAUCUAGCCAUGGGCAGGUUGAAGGUUGGGUAACACUAACUGGAGGACCGAACCGACUAAUGUUGAAAAAUUAGCGGAUGACCUGUGGCUGGGGGUGAAAGGCCAAUCAAACCGGGAGAUAGCUGGUUCUCCCCGAAAGCUAUUUAGGUAGCGCCUCGUGAAUUCAUCUCCGGGGGUAGAGCACUGUUUCGGCUAGGGGGCCAUCCCGGCUUACCAACCCGAUGCAAACUGCGAAUACCGGAGAAUGUUAUCACGGGAGACACACGGCGGGUGCUAACGUCCGUCGUGAAGAGGGAAACAACCCAGACCGCCAGCUAAGGUCCCAAAGUCAUGGUUAAGUGGGAAACGAUGUGGGAAGGCCCAGACAGCCAGGAUGUUGGCUUAGAAGCAGCCAUCAUUUAAAGAAAGCGUAAUAGCUCACUGGUCGAGUCGGCCUGCGCGGAAGAUGUAACGGGGCUAAACCAUGCACCGAAGCUGCGGCAGCGACACUCAGGUGUUGUUGGGUAGGGGAGCGUUCUGUAAGCCUGUGAAGGUGGCCUGUGAGGGUUGCUGGAGGUAUCAGAAGUGCGAAUGCUGACAUAAGUAACGAUAAAGCGGGUGAAAAGCCCGCUCGCCGGAAGACCAAGGGUUCCUGUCCAACGUUAAUCGGGGCAGGGUGAGUCGACCCCUAAGGCGAGGCCGAAAGGCGUAGUCGAUGGGAAACGGGUUAAUAUUCCCGUACUUGGUGUUACUGCGA